AACUUUUUUGGUGGUAAAUUAAAAGUUUUAGAAAUUUUGACGGUAAAAAAUAUUUUUUUGUUUUUUUUUUGUUUGUGGUAAAAGUAAAAAAAAAAAAAUCCUAUAUAUACCAAAUUUAAGCUUGUGUAAUCCAUUAGUUUUAUUUUUUAUGCAUUAAUAAAUUAUGUGAAAUUAUUUAUAAAAUAACAAACGACAUGUAACACUACAAAAAUUAGAUUCAAUAACGACAAUGUAUUAAUGACGGGCUUAAGCCCCGUCUUUAUAUGAGGCUUUUAACGACAUGAUAUUUGACCCGUCGUCAUAAACACUUACCGAACUUAAAACCUAGCUCAAUAAUUCACUUAACUUGAUAAACAAAAAUACCAAACCCAACUUUUUCUCUCCUCUCCAUUUUGUCAUUUUGUCAUUUCUUCAUCUCUUAGAUUACCAGGGUUUAAUGGCUGAUUUUCCAACUUACGAUGUCUAUUGUUGAGUUUGAUUGCUAAAAUCAUCCAUUUCAAUAAAGUUUGAGGCUAGAAUGCUGAGAAUAAAAGUGUAGUAACCAUGUCGCAACGUACCGAAAGCAAGCCAUUUCGACAAAUAAAGUAUGAUAUGGGUGGAAGUUCGGGAAAUCCUCCAAGUUUUGAGAAGUUUUGAUUUGACACCCAUAAAACAGGAAAUAUCUUGGACAAGCCCGAAAUAGUGGAAAAAUAUGAAAAACUCAAGAAGACCAUUCAAGAAAAUCCCGAAAUGGAGAUAUUUGAUGUCAUAGAAGGAUGUUUUGGGCGCCAAAAUAAAGGAUAUGUUGCUGGGUAUGGUGGUUUUGUCAAGCCUAAGGAUCUAAGAGGACCACUACCGAGUAAAUUUGACCUCGAAAUGAAGUUAAAACAAGUUGAGCAAGUUAACAAAGAGCUAUUGGGAAGGCUAGAGCAUAUGGAAGCAGAGAACGAAACAUUCUCUACACAUUUAAAUGAAGUUGAAGCAAAAUUUCAGGCCAUGUUGGAUGCUUUCAGUGAUCAGUGAGGUAAAAAAUUAUCAUUCAUGUGAUGCUAAAUAUUUGUACUCUGUGUUUGUUUGGGGGGAAAAAAAACAGAAUGUUGUUAUUGUUGGUCCCUGUUUUCAUAUGUGAGGUACUCGUUUCAGUUGAGAUUGAUGGAGUACUAGCUAGUUGGGUCAAAAUUAUUGUGCUUGCUUGUUAAUGCAGUACAUCUUUGGGUUAAUGUAGUAUAUGCCAGUUAUACUAUCUGAUCAUGGGUUUGUUUUGGUA